GACGAACGCUGGCGGCGUGCCUAAUACAUGCAAGUCGAACGAACCGCGACUAAGUGCUUGCACUAAGUCAAGGUGAGUGGCGAACGGGUGAGUAACACGUGGGUAACCUACCUCAUAGAGGGGGAUAACAGUCGGAAACGACUGCUAAUACCGCUCAGGACAUAGGUUCACAUGAUCCAGUGAGGAAAGGUGGCGCAAGCUAUCGCUAAGAGAUGGACCCGCGGUGCAUUAGCUAGUUGGUAGGGUAAAGGCCUACCAAGGCGAUGAUGCAUAGCCGACCUGAGAGGGUGAUCGGCCACAUUGGAACUGAGACACGGCCCAAACUCCUACGGGAGGCAGCAGUAGGGAAUCUUCGGCAAUGGACGCAAGUCUGACGGAGCAACGCCGCGUGAGUGAAGGAGGUCUUCGGAUCGUAAAGAUCUGUUGUUAGUGAAGAACAGCGCAUAGAGUAACUGCUAUGCGUGUGACGGUAUCUAGCCAGAAAGCAACGGCUAACUACGUG
rnacentral:rRNA from 1 species